CGCGCGACGACUAUUGGCGGCUCACGUCGUCCAAUCGCGCGCCGCCAUUGGCAUCGCGCCAGCGCCAGCGGAAAUAAUCGAACCGUAGUCAUGGCGGGUUGAGUGGGGAGGAUCGCCGCCAAGUCGCAACGUAUCGGAGGAGAAAGAGAGAAACAAGAAGAGAGAGAGGGAGAGAAGAUCCCCGACCGACUUCCUCGUAGCUUCCUCGUAAUCGCGAUCGUGAUUGUCGUCGAGUUAACCCCGGCCGAUCGUUUCCACUUGCGCGAAACGUAGAACAACGCGAUGUAAGUAACAGGCGGCCACGAGCUGCAAUGACUUUUCAUUUCCGUCCUCCUCACCCGGUUCCGAGGAAUUCACUUGCGUGAACUUUGCAGCUCUCCCGCGCCGCGAACGAUCCGCGGACACGUUCACACUUCACGCUGAGAUUCAAACGAUACGCCGUUAUGUUAGUCGUUAGCGCCACUUGACUUCCACGAAAAGUUCAAAAUGGUCGCCGUUGAUCACAUCGAUGUUCGAUUUCGCACCGAAUUUUUACUCGUGGGCGGCCAUAUACUUCACGGAUAAAUCGAUUUUCUCUGUUAGAUACACGGAUAACGCAGCUUAGGAUUCCAGCUGUCCAUGAACAGAUUGAAAGAAGUUGGGAAAUUGGGAAAAGCAAACUGGAAAUCCAUCAAACUGGAAUUCCAGUAAACUGAAAUUAUCAGCAAUAUAAAGGAGGAGGAUACCAAAAGAUAAAAAUCGUCGCAUGAUUCAUAUCGGGGAACGAGAUUUCUCGAUGAGCUUGGAGUGGCUUCUUCCUUGAUUAAUAUCUCAGGAUAUCAAUAUACAUUUUGGAGCACUGAAUUAUGAUCGCAAAUGAA